rnacentral:sRNA from 1 species
UUGGAAGUUNAAAGUCGUAACAAGGUUUCCGUAGGUGAACCUGCGGAAGGAUCAUUACAGAAUGAAAAGUGCUUAACUGCAUUUUUUCUUACACAUGUGUUUUUCUUUUUUUGAAAACUUUGCUUUGGUAGGCCUUCUAUAUGGGGCCUGCCAGAGAUUAAACUCAACCAAAUUUUAUUUAAUGUCAACCGAUUAUUUAAUAGUCAAAACUUUCAACAACGGAUCUCUUGGUUCUCGCAUCGAUGAAGAACGCAGCGAAAUGCGAUAAGUAAUAUGAAUUGCAGAUAUUCGUGAAUCAUCGAAUCUUUGAACGCACAUUGCGCCCUUUGGUAUUCCAAAGGGCAUGCCUGUUUGAGCGUCAUUUCUCCCUCAAACCCUCGGGUUUGGUGUUGAGCGAUACGCUGGGUUUGCUUGAAAGAAAGGCGGAGUAUAAACUAAUGGAUAGGUUUUUUCCACUCAUUGGUACAAACUCCAAAACUUCUUCCAAAUUCGACCUCAAAUCAGGUAGGACUACCCGCUGAACUUAAGCAUAUCAAUAGCNGGGAGGAA